UUCUCCGCCAGAUCAUGGGUCAGGCCAAGAAGCAUGCGAAGUUGAUCCCCCUUUUUGUAUUUAUUGGAACUGGAGGUAUUGGAGCAGCACUGUUUCUCUCGCCUCUGACAUUGUUCAAUCCAGAUGUUUGUUGGGACAGAAAGACUAACCCAGAGCCCUGAACAAACUGGGUCCCAAUGAUCAAUACAAGUUCUACUCAGUGAAUGUGGAUUACAGCAAAUUGAAGAAAGAAGGUUCAGAUUUCUAA
rnacentral:lncRNA from 1 species